rnacentral:rRNA from 1 species
CCUACGGGAGGCUGCAGUAAGGGAUAUUGGUCAAUGGGCGAAACCCUGAACCAGCAACGCCGCGUGAGGGAAGACGGUUUUCGGAUUGUAAAGCUCUGUCCUCGGGGAAGAUGAUGACGGUAGCAGAGGAGGUAGCUCCUGCUAUCUACGUGCCAGCAGCCGCGGUAAUACGGAGGGAGCGAGCGUUCGCCGGAUUUACUGGGUGUAACGGGUGCGUAGGCGGCUUGGCAAGUCAGAAGUGAAAUCCAUGGGCUUAACCCGUGAACUGCAAUGGAAACUGUCGAGCUUGAGUGAAGUAGAGGGAGGCGGAAUUCCCGGUGUAGCGGUGAAAUGCGUAGAGAUCGGGAGGAACACCAGUGGCGAAGGCGGCCUACUGGGCUUUAACUGACGCUGAGGCGCGAAAGCGUGGGUAGCAAACAGGAUUAGAUACCCCAGUAGUC